rnacentral:lncRNA from 1 species
CUGAGUUCUAACAUCCAAGGGCAGAGAAAAAUGGUAUCCCAGCUCCGGAAGACAGAGAGCAAACUAUUUCACAUUGUCUCUGCCUUUUUAUUGUAUCCAGGCGCUCAGCUGAUUGGAUGAUACCUGCUCCCAUUGGGAUCUCACUAUGUUACUUGGGCUGGUCUCGAACUCCUGGCUUCAAGUGAUCCUCCCAUCUCAAUCUCCCAAAGUGCUGUGACUACAGGUGUGAGUCACUGUGCCAGGCCCAACCUGAAACCUUGACUGCAACUCACCUCAGAGACUGCGACACACUGGCUAUGCCCCAAGUCAUAUGUGGAGAGGGCAGCUUUUCUCAUCCGGCUUGCCAGUGACAAGCAGUGUUAAGAUGUUUUGGGUACUUCAGUCAACAAGCUGCCAUCUUCAACAUGGGGCAUACAGAGCAGUUUUCAAGCCUCUAUAGAAGUCAUCUUACAGCGAGUCUGAGCCAGUGAAAUGCAGUUAUAGUGAUAUGUGUACUCCCAAGGUAGCUGUCAAUGCUCCUACUCGGAAAUACUCAUAUGUUGCUUCUGACUUGAAGCAGAGGAACUCACAACCUAAGAAGCCACAGGCUUGAAGAUGGCAGAGCACAAGAUGGCAGAAGUUUGGAAUGAAUUACUACUUGAAAGAGAAGCUCUUAUUUACCAAGAAAUAUAUUUUGGAAUUUGC